rnacentral:pre_miRNA from 1 species
GUUAAAUAACUCAUCAUUCAAUCACAUUUGAGAUAAGUGAGUUGGAAAUAAAUUAAUAAAUAAAAUAUAGAAAUUUCACCUCACUUAUUUUCAAUAUGAUUGGAUGAUGAGUUAUUUAACCC